AGGUCCGUUUCAUUUUCUGAUGUGUUAAACACGAGUACAAUUUUUACGAUUUUUUUUUUAGUUUGAUUACUUUUCCAGAUUUUUCUUUGUGUUCAUCUCGUCAGAGAAUUUUAAUGAACAUGAAUAAUACCAUGGCUAGAUAAACAAUAUAACUUUAAACUUUUCUACAUCUUUUGGUAUUUACUUGGUAAAAAAACAAUCAAGU
rnacentral:lncRNA from 1 species